rfam:Schistosoma rodhaini strain Burundi genome assembly, scaffold: SROB_scaffold0001527
AUCCAGCUGAAGAGUCUCAAAUAGGACGAAACGAGCGACCUGGAU